rnacentral:rRNA from 1 species
AGCGUAGACGGCAAGGCAAGUCUGAUGUGAAAACCCAGGGCUUAACCCUGGGACUGCAUUGGAAACUGUCUGGCUCGAGUGCCGGAGAGGUAAGCGGAAUUCCUAGUGUAGCGGUGAAAUGCGUAGAUAUUAGGAAGAACACCAGUGGCGAAGGCGGCUUACUGGACGGUAACUGACGUUGAGACUCGAAAGCGUGAGGAGCAAACA